rnacentral:rRNA from 1 species
UGGUGGAGUGAUUUGUCUGCUUAAUUGCGAUAACGAACGAGACCUUAACCUGCUAAAUAGUCAGGCCAGCUUCUGCUGGUCGCAGGCUUCUUAGAGGGACUAUCGGCUUCAAGCCGAUGGAAGUUUGAGGCAAUAACA